AGGGGUAUAGUUCAGCUGGUAGAGCGACAGUCUCCAAAACUGUAAGUCGUGGGUUCAAAUCCUACUGCCCCUGCCA
rnacentral:tRNA from 1 species